UACGUAGGUGGCAAGCGUUGUCCGGAUUUACUGGGCGUAAAGCGUGCGCAGGCGGCUUUGCAAGACAGAUGUGAAAUCCCCGGGCUCAACCUGGGAACUGCAUUUGUGACUGCAAGGCUGGAGUACGGUAGAGGGGGAUGGAAUUCCGCGUGUAGCAGUGAAAUGCGUAGAUAUGCGGAGGAACACCGAUGGCGAAGGCAAUCCCCUGGACCUGUACUGACGCUCAUGCACGAAAGCGUGGGGAGCAAACAGG
rnacentral:rRNA from 1 species